GUGAUUUUACUAGAAAACAGACGUCCCUGUUUAGAAGGCAGAAACGCAAUGGAGGAGAAUCUCACAUCCCUGAGCUGCCAGGUGACAGUGGCAGGAAGAAAACGCACUGCAAUGAAAUUU